ACCCCACGAUAGGCGCAGCCUCCGAGUGGCGUGGGGUGGGCAACUCACCCGUAUGGGUGAGGCUGAGAGCGCCA
rnacentral:ribozyme from 1 species